rnacentral:rRNA from 1 species
CCUACGGGAGGCAGCAGUGGGGAAUUUUGGACAAUGGGGGCAACCCUGAUCCAGCCAUGCCGCGUGAGUGAAGAAGGCCUUCGGGUUGUAAAGCUCUUUUGGUCGGGAAGAAAGUGCUCUGCCUAAUAGGUGGGGUAUUUGACGGUACCGGCAGAAUAAGCACCGGCUAACUACGUGCCAGCAGCCGCGGUAAUACGUAGGGUGCGAGCGUUAAUCGGAAUUACUGGGCGUAAAGCGUGCGCAGGCGGUUCGUUAAGUCUGAUGUGAAAGCCCCGGGCUCAACCUGGGAACUGCAUUGGAAACUGGCGGGCUGGAGUAUGGCAGAGGGGGGUGGAAUUCCACGUGUAGCAGUGAAAUGCGUAGAGAUGUGGAGGAACACCGAUGGCGAAGGCAGCCCCCUGGGCCAAUACUGACGCUCAGGCACGAAAGCGUGGGGAGCAAACAGGAUUAGAUACCCUGGUAGUCCACGCCCUAAACGAUGAUCACUGGGUGUUGGGGAAGCGAUUCCUUGGUACCGUAGCUAACGCGUGAAGUGAUCCGCCUGGGGAGUACGGUCGCAAGAUUAAAACUCAAAUGAAUUGACGG